GUGGGGAAUAUUGGACAAUGGGCGAAAGCCUGAUCCAGCAAUGCCGCGUGAGUGAAGAAGGCCUUCGGGUUGUAAAGCUCUUUUACCCGGGAAGAUAAUGACUGUACCGGGAGAAUAAGCCCCGGCUAACUCCGUGCCAGCAGCCGCGGUAAUACGGAGGGGGCUAGCGUUGUUCGGAAUUACUGGGCGUAAAGUGCACGUAGGCGGUCUUUAAAGUCAGAGGUGAAAGCCCGGGGCUCAACUCCGGAAUUGCCUUUGAAACUGGGAGACUUGAACACGGGAGAGGUGAGUGGAAUUCCGAGUGUAGAGGUGAAAUUCGUAGAUAUUCGGAGGAACACCAGUGGCGAAGGCGGCUCACUGGACCGUUGUUGACGCUGAGGUGCGAAAGCGUGGGGAGCAAACAGGAUUAGAAACCCUAGUAGUCC
rnacentral:rRNA from 1 species